AGCUCCAAUAGUGUAUAUUAAUGUUGCUGCAGUUAAAAAGCUCGUAGUCGAAUGUCUGCCUUGUCAAACUCGAACUAUGUUUUAUGAACAUACGUCUCGAAUUGUUUGCGAGGCAUCAUUCUGGAAAGUCCUUCUGCCCUUGAUUGGGUUGGUUGUACGAUCCAGAACAUUUACUGUGAGCAAAUGGGAGUGUUCAAAGCAGGCUUUUAGCUAUGUUUGAACCGUUUAGCAUGGAAUAAUAAAAUAUAACUUAGGUUUUAUUUUGUUGGCUUGCUAAAACCCAAGUAAUGAUCGAAAGGGAUGGUUUGGGGGUGCUCAUAUUCAGGGGGUACCGGUGAAAUGGGAUGAUCCUCUGAAGAUGAACUAAUGCGAAAGCAUUCACCAAGGACAUUUUCUUUGA
rnacentral:rRNA from 1 species